GUGGGGAAUAUUGGACAAUGGGCGAAAGCCUGAUCCAGCCAUGCCGCGUGUGUGAAGAAGGUCUUCGGAUUGUAAAGCACUUUAAGUUGGGAGGAAGGGCAGUAAGUUAAUACCUUGCUGUUUUGACGUUACCAACAGAAUAAGCACCGGCUAACUUCGUGCCAGCAGCCGCGGUAAUACGAAGGGUGCAAGCGUUAAUCGGAAUUACUGGGCGUAAAGCGCGCGUAGGUGGUUCAGCAAGUUGGAGGUGAAAGCCCCGGGCUCAACCUGGGAACUGCCUCCAAAACUACUGAGCUAGAGUACGGUAGAGGGUAGUGGAAUUUCCUGUGUAGCGGUGAAAUGCGUAGAUAUAGGAAGGAACACCAGUGGCGAAGGCGACUACCUGGACUGAUACUGACACUGAGGUGCGAAAGCGUGGGGAGCAAACAGGAUUAGAAACCCUGGUAGUCC
rnacentral:rRNA from 1 species